AGCUGCUAGCUACACAAGUAUUUGUGUAUUUGGAGUAGCACACACGCUGCUAGCUACACAAGUAUUUGUGUAUUUGGAGUAGCACACACGCUGCUAGCUACACAAGUAUUUGUGUAUUUGGAGUAGCACAAACGCUGCUAGCUACACAAGUAUUUGUGUAUUUGGAGUAGCACACACGCUGCUAGCUACACAAGUAUUUGUGUAUUUGGAGUAGCACACACGCUGCUAGCUACACAAUCAUUUGUGUAUUUGGAGUAGCACACAAGCUGCUAACUACACUAUCCAACACAACUUAGAGGAGUGACUGAAUGAUGUUGUGUAGUUCAAACACAAUCAGACACAAGGUAGAGGAGUGAAUGAAUGAUGUAGUGUAUUAAAGACACAAUUCAACACAAGUUAGAGUGACUGAACGGUUUUGUGUAGUUAAAACACAAUUCAACACAAGUUAUAGUGAAUGAAUGAUGUUGUGUUGUACUAACACAAUCCAACACAAGGUAGAGUGACUGAAUUACGUUGUGUAGUUCGAACACAAUCCGACACAAAGUAGAGUGACUGAAUGAUGUUGUGUAGUAAAAACACAAUCCAACACAAGGUAGAGUGACUGAAUUACGUUGUGUAGUACAAACACAAUCCGACACAAAGUAGAGUGACUGAAUGAUGUUGUGUAGUAAAAACACAAUUCAACACAAGUUAGAGUGAAUGAAUGAUGUUGUGUAGUACAAACACAAUCCAACACAAGGUAGAGUGAAUGAAUGAUGUUGUGUAGUACAAACACAAUCUGCCACAAAGUAAAGUGACUGAAUGAUGUUGUGUAGUACAAAAACAAUUCAACACAAGUUAGAGUGACUGAAUGAUGUUGUGUAGUACAAACACAAUCCAACACAAGGUAGAGUGAAUGAAUAAUGUUGUGUAGUACAAACACAAUCCAACACAAGGUAGAUUAAAUGAAUGAUGUUGUGUAGUACAAACACAAUCCAACACAAGGUAGAGUGACUGAAUGAUGUUGUGUAGUACAAACACAAUCCAAAACAAGGUAGAUUAAAUGAAUGAUGUCGUGUAGUACAAAACACAAUCCAACACAAGGUAGAGUGACUGAAUGAUGUUGUGUAGUACAAACACAAUCCAAAACAAGGUAGUUGAGUGAAUGAAUAAUGUUGUGUAGUACAAACACAAUCCAACACAAGGUAGAUUAAAUGAAUGAUGUCGUGUAGUACAAAACACAAUCCAACACAAGGUAGAGUGACUGAAUGAUGUUGUGUAGUACAAACACAAUCCAAAACAAGGUAGUUGAGUGAAUGAAUGAUGUUGUGUAGUACAAACACAAUCCAAAACAAGGUAGUUGAGUGAAUGAAUAAUGUUGUGUAGUACAAACACAAUCCAACACAAGGUAGAUUAAAUGAAUGAUGUCGUGUAGUACAAAACACAAUCCAACACAAGGUAGAGUGACUGAAUGAUGUUGUGUAGUACAAACACAAUCCAAAACAAGGUAGUUGAGUGAAUGAAUGAUGUUGUGUAGUACAAACACAAUCCAACACAAGGUAGAGUGACUGAAUGAUGUUGUGUAGUACAAACACAAUCCAACACAAGGUAGAGUGACUGAAUGAUGUUGUGUAGUACAAACACAAUCCAACACAAGGUAGAAUGAAUGAUGUUGUGUAGUACAAAACACAACCCAACUCAAGGUAAAGUGAAUGAAUGAAUAAAUGAUGUUGUGUAGUAGAAACACUGAGGUUGUAAUAAAAUGUCACAUUGUAUCAAGCAGACUUCAAAGUAAUGCUAAUGAUGUAAUCCUCUUGCACCAGUGAGACCUCCUCUGUCACGUACAUGAUCUUUGUUUGCAGCUUUUUCUACACAAUAUUGCAAUGUUCAGUUCACCCUGAAAGGAAAAAUAAUCAUCAAUAAAGUCAGAAUUAAUGGAAA